AGUUCUCAUUUGUAACUCAUCAAACAUUUUAAUUUAAAACUGCUUUUCUUGUUUGACUUCAUCGGUUUUAUUUUAUUUGCAUCAUCAAAAAUGACUAAAAUGGUUCUUACAAUUUUUUUAGUGUUCUUCAUUUUCGGAAUGGUGAUGGAGAAUACGCAAGGACGUAUAUGUCAUGCGACUCAUGCCUAUCAUGAAGGAGAUGGUUGUGAACC